UACGUAGGGGGCAAGCGUUGUCCGGAUUUACUGGGCGUAAAGAGCGUGUAGGCGGCCAAACAGGUCCGUUGUGAAAACUCGAGGCUCAACCUCGAGAUGUCGAUGGAAACCGUCUGGCUAGAGUCCGGAAGAGGAGUGUGGAAUUCCUGGUGUAGCGGUGAAAUGCGCAGAUAUCAGGAAGAACACCUAUGGCGAAGGCAGCACUCUGGGACGGUACUGACGCUGAGACGCGAAAGCGUGGGGAGCGAACAGG
rnacentral:rRNA from 1 species